UUCAAAGAAGGAGAAGUCAACGAAUAUUAAAAAUAAAGACAAAUCCAAAAGUUGAAUCCUCGAUAAUAGUUAAUCCUAAAGGACAAGUGUAAGAAAUAAUCCCAGCACUAAUCCAUUAGAAUGAACAUAGUGAAGAUAACGAUCGUAUUGACUCUAAACCUUAGCCUACUUUUCCAAAAUUAUCCCACCUUAACCCUAG
rnacentral:lncRNA from 1 species